GUGAGGAAUUUUCCGCAAUGGGCGAAAGCCUGAUCCAGCCAUGCCGCGUGAACGAUGAAGGCCUUCGGGUUGUAGAGUUCUUUAGCCGAUGAUUAUAAUGACUGUAGUCGGAAAAUAAGCCCCGGCUAACUUCGUGCCAGCAGCCGCGGUAAUACGAAGGGGGCGAGCGUUAUUCGGAAUCACUGGGCGUAAAGCGUGCGUAGGCGGUCUCGUAAGUUAGGAGUGAAAGCCCAGGGCUCAACCUUGGAAUUGCUCUUAAAACUGCAAGGCUAGAAUCUCGGAGAGGAUAGCGGAAUUUCCAGUGUAGCAGUGAAAUGCGUAGAUAUUGGAAGGAACACCAGUGGCGUAAGCGGCUAUCUGGACGAGUAUUGACGCUGAGGCACGAAAGCGUGGGGAUCAAACAGGAUUAGAUACCCCGGUAGUCC
rnacentral:rRNA from 1 species